rnacentral:ncRNA from 1 species
AUAGGUAGAGGCUGCGAGGCUUAAGAGUAAUUUACAGGAGGUUGACACCGUUGAUCGUAGAUGAAAGGAAGCUUUGCCGAAGCUAAGUAUUGAUAGUCAUAAGAUAUUUAGUUGGGGUUAUUUUGAACAAAAAUAACACUGUCAUUUAUACGCCAGUAUAGAUGGGGAGCUACA